rnacentral:rRNA from 1 species
GAUGAACGCUGGCGGCGUGCCUAAUACAUGCAAGUCGAGCGAACGGACGAGAAGCUUGCUUCUCUGAUGUUAGCGGCGGACGGGUGAGUAACACGUGGAUAACCUACCUAUAAGACUGGGAUAACUUCGGGAAACCGGAGCUAAUACCGGAUAAUAUUUUGAACCGCAUGGUUCAAAAGUGAAAGACGGUCUUGCUGUCACUGAUAGAUGGAUCCGCGCUGCAUUAGCUAGUUGGUAAGGUAACGGCUUACCAAGGCAACGAUGCAUAGCCGACCUGAGAGGGUGAUCGGCCACACUGGAACUGAGACACGGUCCAGACUCCUACGGGAGGCAGCAGUAGGGAAUCUUCCGCAAUGGGCGAAAGCCUGACGGAGCAACGCCGCGUGAGUGAUGAAGGUCUUCGGAUCGUAAAACUCUGUUAUUAGGGAAGAACACAUGUGUAAGUAACUGUGCACAUCUUGACGGUACCUAAUCAGAAAGCCACGGCUAACUACGUG